rnacentral:rRNA from 1 species
GAUGAACGCUAGCGGCAGGCUUAAUACAUGCAAGUCGAGGGGCAGCACAGAUAGCAAUAUUGGGUGGCGACCGGCAAACGGGUGCGGAACACGUACACAACCUUCCUUUUAGUGUGGGAUAGCCCAGAGAAAUUUGGAUUAAUACCACAUAGUAUAUUGGAGUGGCAUCACUUUGAUAUUAAAGAUUUAUCGCUAAAAGAUGGGUGUGCGUAUGAUUAGGUAGUUGGUAGAGGUAACGGCUCACCAAGCCUUCGAUCAUUAACUGGUGUGCGAGCACAACCCGUCACCGGGCAACGGAGACACGGGCGCGACUCCUGCGGGAGGCAGAAGAAAGGAAUAUUGGUCAAUGGACGGAAGUCUGAACCAGCCAUGCCGCGGGAAGGAUGCCGGCCCUUUGGGUUGUAAACUUCUUUUAUGUGGGACGAAAAAGGGCCAUUUUUGGUCAACUGACGGUACCAUAGGAAUAAGCACGGGCUAACUCCGUGCCAGCAGCCGCCGUAA